ensembl:misc_RNA Metazoa_SRP Metazoan signal recognition particle RNA
GCCAGGCAAGGUGGCGCACGCCUGUAGUCCCAGCUACUUGGGAGGCUGAGGUGGGAGGAUUGCUUGAGCCCAGGAGGUAGAGGCUGCAGUGAGCCAAGACCGUGCCACUGCACUCCCAUUCCCACCUGGGCAACAAAGUGAGACCCUGUCUCAA